rnacentral:sRNA from 12 species
GCAGCAGCGCCGUUUGCUGCUGUUGCGCCCACGGUUGUGGGUGAGCUCACUGACAGAAGGAAGAUAUCGAUG